CCGCAGCUCGAGAUCGGCGAGGACGAUCCUCUCGACUACCUCGGACAGAAUGCACCCUUCGACUAGCCUCUUUAUUAAGUCCCUGUUGUUGAAGAGAUUUUCCUCCAGGUCUUCCUCGGAGCCGCCAGCCCCCUCGGCGGCAGCCCUGCGACUGUGACUCCUCCGAGCCAGGAUCUUCUUUCUCCUCCUCCCUUCGACCUCGGGUGCCCCC
rnacentral:lncRNA from 1 species